GGUGUUAAAACCAGCGACUAAUCACAAUCCAGACCAGUUUCGGAAUACCUGUGGAUUGGCUACGUGGACUUCGAACACCUCCCUCCGGUCUACUCUGUCCUCACUCCUCCUGGCUGCGAAAUUUCUUGCCUAUAUAAAGAGAAAUGCAUCAGAACUGCGCAACAGUUCGGGAGUUCAUUUGAGUUCUUGAUUUUAUCAGCAAACUUCUCCGCGAGUUCAGUCCUCUCAGUGUUAAAUUUCAUUUUACAGAAGAUCUCGCAGUGAAAUCUGAACAGUCCUGUCACCUGUGUCAAAUUCCUUAACGGCCAACGUUCAAGAUCAGAACCGUAAUUUUGCUGCGGAGCAGCGCCGCCUUCGUCAAGAAAUCGACCGACUGCGAGACACUGAAGCCACAAUGAAGGAGCAUCUGGAGAACCAGGCCCAGCAGUGGGAACUGGAUGCCGUGAACGUCCCGUUUCAGUGGGCCGUGGAUAUGUUCCUCUUCCUGGAGACGCGGGACGAGCGACUGGAGAAAGGGCUCGAGCUGCUGGAGUCGAAAGUGAGCGGACAAUUGGUGGACGUCAACGCCAGACUGGGUGGUAUCGAAGCCCGACAGCUGGAGCUAAUGACUAUUGUGAAGGAUAUUAAUGGCAAACUGGACAAAUUGUUGUCUAAUAACUAAUAAGUAAUAUCAGUACAAAGGUGUUUGUUUGCUGAUUUUGAAAUAGUCUACUGUCUGUAGUUUGUCCAGCUUCAGUUCGAAUGUGAUGACCUAAAAAAAUCCAACCGGCUUUGCUCGCAUAGUGAUUGUUUACUGAUUAGCUGUAUAAUCACUUGAAAUUAGAAAGCAAACACAUUCCACUUGAA